rnacentral:lncRNA from 1 species
UGGCCAGCGCAUCUGCACCCACAGAGACCUUGGGGCUGGAGCGAAAAGCCCAGCGCCUGCGGCCACUGUACCAGUACAUCAACUAUUGCAACCCAGAGCUGAAUCAGGCAGGGGAUGGGGACAGGGAACCGGAGGCUGAGCCUGAGUCGGAGUUAGCCCUGGCUCCUGAGGAGGCAGGUGUGGAGCAGCUGCAGCUGCAGACCUUGCUGCCCAUGGCAGGUGAGCUGGGCUUAGGCCUUGCUUUGCCCUGCCCUAAUCCAUUAGCACCACUGACCCAUAAUCUUCCUCCUCUGGUAGAGGAGGUUGGAGAGGAGCCUGGGGGUUUGUCUAGUCUAAGGGUGAGUGGCAGCCUCAAGGCUGAGGUGGAUAAGACAACCCAAGUGGAUAUUGACAAGAUGUUGAGUGUCUGUGCUGCCCCUCUUGUGCCCCCGCUGUCCCCUCAGUACAAGUGACCCAUUGAGAAUGUCCGGGUCUAGGCCUAAACUAUGGCUUUAAGCCCGUAGGCCUAAGCCAUCAGAUGGAAGAAGGGAUUUAGUCUUUUGUCUAUACUUGAGAAUUUACGCUCACUGA